AAGAUUUUACGUCGUCGGAAGAAACUAAUUUCAAUGUUUUUCAAAGUGAUUUUGCUUUUUUGGCUGAAUGCUCCUUUCUUUUAAAAAAAAUGGUAAAUACAGACUGUAAAGGACUGAAAAAGAAAAGAACUGAACUUUAGUAAACACCUCUUUUGAAAUUAAAAAAAAUGCUUUGCUCAAUCCCAGCUGCUUUGGGAAGCAGGUAAGAAGGCAGUUGACAUUCUGACUUUUCUACUUGCUUUGGAAUGAGGAAAUCAUCAUUGCUUUGAAACCAUUUGAAGGAUGAAACAAAUCUUUUCCAGUUUCGCUCUAACUAUGAUGCAAAGAGGGAGAAUACUGAAGCAACCCUUCAAAGAGAAAAAAACAUUUCACUCUGAUUGCAUUAGGCAGUUCUUUCUCAAAAAUCAACAUUCAGCCCAGCCUUAAAGGGUUGCCAGGAGCCAAAGUCUAAUCUUGGUCUCCCGCGAGCCUGGGGGAGCUGCAGAUCCUCUGUGCAGAUCUGCCUUUUGGCCAGAUGACUCAGGGAAGAGUAAAAAUGAGCAGAAAUUUGUGUGUUGUUGAUAAAUGGCACUCGAUGAAGGGAACAAGGAAAGAAGAAGAUAUUAUAUUGACCUGACGAUUCCCAUGUGAAUGUUCCCAUUGAUUUUAUGGUCAAUUCUUGUCUAAAUAACACAGCCGACCUGGGUAUCCGACUGAAACAUGGAACCAAACCACUGCCCCGGCCCAGAGCAUGAACGAGAUGGGAGGCCGGCCACUGGCUCCAGUGCUCCCCGUCCCCUCUGCUCUGCCACCCUGCUCUAAACCGCCUCUGUGAAACGACUUGUCAAAAAAACCCACAGCAACAACCGAAUGUUGCUGGUAGUUUUUGUCACUGCAUCGCUCAGUAAAUCCCAAAUAAGGUAGAGGUGCAGGAAUCAGAUGAAUCAGGGGCAAAAACCUCUGCUGGAGCAGGGAGGAGGCGGUGUGAGACGGCGACGCUGCGGAGACGGAGCAGCCUGUUAAACCGGAUCUGCCACCGAAGGAAUCGCAGCGCGGAGCCGCGGCUGUCCCCGGGCUCGCUCCGCUCCGUCCACGCCAGGCGUCUGCGAAGCACAGGGUUAGUGCGGCGGUGAGUUGUACGUCCUAAUCAUGACACGCUGCUGCUCGCCUGGUCCAAACCGCUGGAGCAGGGCUGGAGAGCAACGGAUAGCGGCCAGAGGGCAGCUGGCGAGCUGGAAGGGCUUCUGCUCCACUGCUGGGACUUCCCACAGCAGAAAUAAGGGCUGGAUGCCAGGCACAAGAGACAGCUCCAAAAUCACAAGAAGAGUGGAGGACUAGGGAAUGGUUGCCUGGUGUGUCUUACUUUUUAAAGUGAAGAAAAAGGCGCCGAGCAGAGGGGGCUGGAUCCAUGGCUUUGAUGCAUCUUGACAUGCGCUGAGCAGAGGGGCCUGGAAGAGAUACAUCCCUCCUUGCAGCUGCAAAGAAAAGCCUAUAAGGUAUCCUGUAACCACACGUGUUUGUUAAAAAAAUGCUACCAGCAUGAAGAAAGGCAGAAUUUCCCCGCCUGUUAUAUAAUCAGAAUAAUUAAACUCAGGUGAAUGACUCCUAGGAAUUUUAGCCCUUAGAGUUUUACUUUGCUGAAUUUUAUUCAGACACUUUGAAAGCAAAGGAGGAGACAACUGUCCGGCACAGUAUGGUGUAAAUCACUGCAGGAGCAGCCCUUACUAGGAUGAGGAGCUUCCUCUGCUCUUGCUGAACCCCGCUGCGGCCUCUCAGUACUCCCACUCACCUGGCAUCAGCGCUUAUUUUAUUCUUUUGGCUAUUUUUAGUUUUAUAAAUGAAUGCACAAGCGAGGCCCAAUAGGAUUAAGCCAUUUCCUUCUUUUGGGCCAAGAUGUCUUCUACUUAUUUAAUAUAAAGAAUCAAGACAUUUCUACCCCUCAGCUCCAUUGCACCAACACAGUUGCACCAUCUCCACCUGCCAACAGCAGCAGAGCUGAACAGACCCUGCGCAGAUAAGAGCUGCAGGUCCAAGCACAGACAUCAGCGUUGGGCAGAACAAGAGAUACGCCUAUUCAUGCUGAAAACGGAGAAUGAUUUCGGCAUGCCAGGCAGGACAGUAAAGCCUGUCACUAGAAGACAGACGAGGGCAGCGUUGCCCUGUAAAGUCAGGACAGGCGUGUUCCUCCCUGAAAUGGUUUUCAUCUUACAUUGGCUGUUGGGGUCCGAGCCCCUUCCAGGGGAGCCUUGCCAAGUGCUGUCCUGUUGCUGCAGAUGUAAUGUGGGGGGCAUUUUGCUCAGGCUAUGCAGAAAGUGCAGAAAAACAGAUGUUGCCUUUGCAGUUCUGGGAAUUCAGUUAUGUUAAAGAGCUUUGCUUUCCGUUUCCAAUGGUUUUGUCAGCAUUGCUUGAUUUUUAAUAAAUGUGUACAGUGAACAGUG